rnacentral:lncRNA from 1 species
AUAUAUAUAUAUAUAUAUUUGAAUAGAUAGAAUUUUACCAUGCAGACUUUUUACUACUAUUGAAACCAACGAUUUAUUUGUCUUUGAUUCAAUAAAUUCGGUUUAUUUAUUACGGAUUCAAUGUGGUUGUAUAAGACGAAAAUGUUGACUUUGCUAUUUAGUACAGUCUCGAAAAAUUUCAUGAGCCAUUAUUAUUACUAGUUACAUUGACUCCGCACAAGUACGGGAUUGUAGACCGAGUUCUUGUUUCAUCUCAUUUCUUAUAGUUAUAGUUAUUGUAGCUGUAAAUUUUACGUUUUGAGUUGACUAUUAUUUUUCAAGUUUUUUAUUGUUAUAUGGUUAGAGUUGUGAUGAUGAAUUGUGUAUGCAUUGUUCUCCACUCAUAAAGGACUAAAAUGUUUUAGUAAUAUGAUUGAUAUAGUUCGUGGUGUUGUUUCCUGUGUCACUGUGACUUAUUGUUUGUUUGUUUUUUUUAAUUUGUUACUUGUAUUGUUGAAAUUACAUAAAUUAUAUUAAGGUUGUUGAGAGUACCUUUUGUUUGUGAAUAUUUUUUCUCAAGUUUAGUUGUGUAAGUUGUGUGUAUUAAGUAAUAAUUAUUUUUAUUCUUAUUAUGUUGGUUAUAUGUUUUUUUUUUAUUUUUAAACUUGUUGCUUUUACCGGACCUUUAAAACAAAUACAUGAAAACUUGUAGAAAUAACUAUAAAAUGAGUGACAAUUAGUAUUUGGACCUUAAUGGGUUUUAAACGAAUAUAUGUAUUUUUCAUAAGAAGACAAUAACAUUGGCCCGUUGACAUUGAACAUGUAAGCUAUUUUCAUAAGACAAGAGGAGUGAGUAGGUGGAAAUGUUGUUGCCGCCUUUGUGUCUGUUGGGAUUGUCUCUUGUAUCUCUUGGUAUGGUUGUGUUUGUUUCUCUUUUAUUUGAUGGGUAAUAUGCAAACAAAAAUCAUUGUUAGUUGUAUUUAUUAAAGUUUGUAACUUACUCUGCCUUUUUGUUUAGGUAAUUUCACUGAUCUUGGUUGUCGUCUUAGUCUUCUUCACAAGCAUCUGCGAAAGUAAGUUUGUAAAUUGUUAAAUAACUGGUCGUGUAGUUUGUAUUUGUUUAGUUGGCUCAAUGUAUUUGUCGUUGAGUUUUAGUUGAGUUGAUUGGUUUGGUAUAUAUUUGUUUUGAAGUUUAUUUGUAAGAUUAGACAAAAAGAGAGGUGAUCAUUAAUUAUUCGUCUUGUUUUGGGAUUCUAGUUUUUGGUGAUUUGAUUGUUUGGGUUAUUGUGGUUUCUUUUAAGUUGUAAAAUAAAGAUUUGUGUAAAAUUAGAUUGAUAAGUAAGAGAGAUAAAUAGACGACCACAAAUCUUGGGUAGAAAAUAUUUUUGAUUAUUGAUGUUAGCACAAUAUAGACAAUAAUAUAAAUAUAAUUAUGUGUUGA